UUUUUUUAUAACUCAGUUCACAUUGUAGUGGGAGAUCAUAGGACUUAGCUUUGCUUCUCUCAGCAAUCCAGUUUAGACUUUUAAGUGGAGUGGCUUUCUGACGGAAACUAGACUAAGCUUAAAAAACAGACUGAAAAAUGAGGAUAUACUUAAGCCACAGGUCAGUCAAGUAAGAAUUAAAUAUACUGCUUUUUACAGUAUAUUUACUGUAUCAAUUGCAUCAGUUUGGAAAUGUAUUUUAAGAAUUUCUUCUAGUUCUAUUUAUCCUUGUGCUGCAGUGUAGGUUGCUAUGACACACAAGGUUAUUUUGAAAUGACUUUGAUAUAUCUGAUACUGAUUUCUGCCUUUGCUAAUCAUGUGUUUCCCUUCCUGUGUAGGGUAAGUGGCAGAAAAUUUCUGAGAAACAUUUGCAUGGAUUGAAGUUUGCUCAGGAGGCAGAUCAGACUAUGAAAAUACAGAAGGCUGAUAUCUUUGUGAGAUUGACAAACAGUAAUGAACUUGUGCAUCAAAAAGUGAAGCAGUGGUUUAAGAUAACUAUUUUUACCAUUCAUUUUUGACGUUUGAUGAAUAACGAGCUUAUUAAAGUUUUUGUGGGUUUGCUUAUGCCGAGUUCUAUUGAAUAUUAAAUAACAAUGCAACAACGCAUUGUGCUUCUAACCAUGUAGUCAGUAUGAUCUACCUAUUGUAUUAGUCUGGUGGUUCAAAGAAUGAACACCAGAUGAUUGAUUUGCCCAAAACCACACUACAUUCACCAUACAACUGGAGUGAGUUGUUAACACAAGCAAGGAGUAAGCUUUGUCACUAGCCACAACACUGAGUUAACAGGAAGGCUCUGCAAGUUUAUCUAAGACAGGUGGGGAACCUGUGGUCUUCCAGAUUUGGACUCUCAACUCCCAUAAGCUCCAACCAGCAUGUUGAGAGGUCAGCUUUUAGCUGCUAAGAUCCUGAGUGGACUUCAUUUAAGCACACUGAAGAAUGCACUGGAGUUUGUUUUGGUUUCCUCUUACCGCUGACGAACUCUGCUAUGCUCAGAUGAGUCGGACUCUUGGAAUGCCGAGACUCUUGGGGGAAGCGUGCCGGACCUCACGCUUAUCUGAGCAAUAAAUCAAGAUAUCCCAGAGGGAGCUAUAGUGCCAGCAACAUCUGAAGGGCCACAGGUUCCCCAAGCCCAAUCCAAGAAAACUCCAUGAUGCCUGGGCAUUGUCAGAUUUUUAGAUGCAUUCAUUUUAGUUCAGAUUGUGGAUAAGCACAGCUUGAUCUCUGUGAUAAUGUGUUUUAUCACAAACUAACAUUGAUGAACAUGGUUAACCUAGAAGUUAUUCUUUCACUUCUGCUUUUCUUUACUGUAACUGUAAAUUUUUUGCUGCCAUUAAGUAAUUCCUUCUAGUGAAUGCAUUUGUCACAUUAAUUUGAAAUUACUAAUAAAAUGAAAACUAUAUAAGCUACGGCUUUGAGGGUUGUUGUUUUCUUUACAAUCAAGCAGUGUUAAAAUUUACGGGCUUUUAUCCAGUAUUGUGUAAGUACACACAGAUGGAUAUCUUCCUUCCCAUUUCUCCCUAACCCCCUAAAGGCUUUCCAGGAGGUCAGGGGUGGGGUGGGGGCUCAAAAUCAGGAAGAGGACUCUUGUGCCAGUAUGCUAUUUUAUUUCCUCCCUCUUUCUAUUGCACCUUCAUUCAACAGUCCACAGUGUUCAGUAGAUGCCACCUGACAUUAUGGCAAGCUUUUGGCAGGUACAGGAAUAUAUAUAUAUAUAGGCGGGAGUGGGGUGGAAGAGAAAUAUCCAUUGGGUGAUCAUGCCUCAUCGUCGCACAACAGAUACAACCCAGUCAGUUUACAUGAAAGGAGAGCACACGUUACUGUUUAGAAGGGUUUAGAGAAAAUGCUGUCUUGAGAACACAACAGUAUUGCAAGUUUAUCUAAAUAUACAAAAAAAAUGUAAACCUCUUCACAGACUGAAUUAAUAGAAAAUGGUUCAGAACUCCCACAUUUUCUCCCUAGACCUACUUGUGUAUGUGCCAAUUGAUAACACUUAAUGCAUCUGAUAAUGUUCUCUAGUCCUCAGAAGCCUGUAUCACAAUAAAUCUCUUAAGUUUUUAAAGUGCUAAAAGUCUUGUAUUUGAGUGAACAUCACACUUCUGGUAUUCUUCAAUAGAAACAUACUAUAAGUAGAGGAUGAAAUAAUAACUGCUUUAAAGUUUUUUUCAAACUUGUGUAGUCAGGUUUAUAUUUAGAGCAACAGCGGCAUAUGAUUGCUUUGUUUUCUGGUUGCUUGUGAUUCACUCUCCUAAAACAUGAAUGAAACGAACAUGCUUUGUAUUCAGUAUUUGUAUUUCUCUUACAUGUGAUUAUGUUUUGCUAAAUAAAUAUCAUCCACUACUUGAAGCAUA